rnacentral:rRNA from 1 species
CCCUUAGAUGUUCUGGGCUGCACACGCGCUACACUGGCAGGUUCAGCGAGCUUCUUGCCCUGAUCUGAGAAGAAUGGGAAACCUUUUCAACACCUGCCGUGCUUGGGAUAGAUGUUUGCAAUUAUUCAUCUUCAACAAGGAUUGCCUUGUAGGCGUGCCUCAUCAGGGCACAUCGAAUACGACCCUGUAUUCUGUACACACCGCCCGUCGCUCCUACCGAUUGAAUGGUCCGGUGAAAUGUUCGGACCGCGACAAGGCGGACGGUUCGCUGUCAGCUUUGCUGCGGGAAGUUCAUUAAACCUUAUCAUUUAGAGGAAGGAGAAGUCGUANCA